ACAUCCAGAGAACUUUCCAGAGAUGGAUUGGUGCCUUCGGGAACUCUGGAGACGGGUGCUGCAUGGCUGUCGUCAGCUCGUGUUGUGAAAUGUUGGGUUAAGUCCCGCAACGAGCGCAACCCUUAUCCUUGUUGCCAGCGGUUAGGCCGGGAACUCAAAGGAGACUGCCAGUGAUAAACUGGAGGAAGGUGGGGAUGACGUCAAGUCAUCAUGGCCCUUACGAGUAGGGCUACACACGUGCUACAAUGGCGCAUACAAAGAGAAGCGACCUCGCGAGAGCAAGCGGACCUCAUAAAGUGCGUCGUAGUCCGGAUUGGAGUCUGCAACUCGACUCCAUGAAGUCGGAAUCGCUAGUAAUCGUGGAUCAGAAUGCCACGGUGAAUACGUUCCCGGGCCUUGUACACACCGCCCGUCACACCAUGGGAGUGGGUUGCAAAAGAAGUAGGUAGCUUAACCUUCGGGAGGGCGCUUACCACUUUGUGAUUCAUGACUGGGGUGAAGUCGUAACAAGGUAGGCGUAGUGCU
rnacentral:rRNA from 1 species